UUAAGCGACUAAGCGUACACGGUGGAUGCCCUGGCAGUCAGAGGCGAUGAAGGACGUGCUAAUCUGCGAAAAGCGUCGGUAAGGUGAUAUGAACCGUUAUAACCGGCGAUGUCCGAAUGGGGAAACCCAGUGCAAUUCGUUGCACUAUCGUUAACUGAAUACAUAGGUUAACGAGGCGAACCGGGGGAACUGAAACAUCUAAGUACCCCGAGGAAAAGAAAUCAACCGAGAUUCCCCCAGUAGCGGCGAGCGAACGGGGAGCAGCCCAGAGUCUGAAUCAGCUUGUGUGUUAGUGGAACGGUCUGGAAAGUCCGACGGUACAGGGUGAUAGUCCCGUACACCAAAAUGCACAGGUUGUGAACUCGAAGAGUAGGGCGGGACACGUGGUAUCCUGUCUGAAUAUGGGGGGACCAUCCUCCAAGGCUAAAUACUCCUGACUGACCGAUAGUGAACCAGUACCGUGAGGGAAAGGCGAAAAGAACCCCGGCGAGGGGAGUGAAAAAGAACCUGAAACCGUGUACGUACAAGCAGUGGGAGCACCUUCGGGUGUGACUGCGUACCUUUUGUAUAAUGGGUCAGCGACUUAUAUUCUGUAGCAAGGUUAACCGUAUAGGGGAGCCGCAGGGAAACCGAGUCUUAACUGGGCGUUAAGUUGCAGGGUAUAGACCCGAAACCCGGUGAUCUAGCCAUGGGCAGGUUGAAGGUUGGGUAACACUAACUGGAGGACCGAACCGACUAAUGUUGAAAAAUUAGCGGAUGACUUGUGGCUGGGGGUGAAAGGCCAAUCAAACCGGGAGAUAGCUGGUUCUCCCCGAAAGCUAUUUAGGUAGCGCCUCGUGAACUCAUCUUCGGGGGUAGAGCACUGUUUCGGCUAGGGGGUCAUCCCGACUUACCAACCCGAUGCAAACUACGAAUACCGAAGAAUGUUAUCACGGGAGACACACGGCGGGUGCUAACGUCCGUCGUGAAGAGGGAAACAACCCAGACCGCCAGCUAAGGUCCCAAAGUCAUGGUUAAGUGGGAAACGAUGUGGGAAGGCACAGACAGCCAGGAUGUUGGCUUAGAAGCAGCCAUCAUUUAAAGAAAGCGUAAUAGCUCACUGGUCGAGUCGGCCUGCGCGGAAGAUGUAACGGGGCUAAACCAUGCACCGAAGCUGCGGCAGCGACACUAUGUGUUGUUGGGUAGGGGAGCGUUCUGUAAGCCUGCGAAGGUGUGCUGUGAGGCAUGCUGGAGGUAUCAGAAGUGCGAAUGCUGACAUAAGUAACGAUAAAGCGGGUGAAAAGCCCGCUCGCCGGAAGACCAAGGGUUCCUGUCCAACGUUAAUCGGGGCAGGGUGAGUCGACCCCUAAGGCGAGGCCGAAAGGCGUAGUCGAUGGGAAACAGGUUAAUAUUCCUGUACUUGGUGUUACUGCGAAGGGGGGACGGAGAAGGCUAUGUUAGCCGGGCGACGGUUGUCCCGGUUUAAGCAUGUAGGCUGGUUGUCCAGGCAAAUCCGGAUAAUCAAGGCUGAGGUGUGAUGACGAGGCACUACGGUGCUGAAGUAACAAAUGCCCUGCUUCCAGGAAAAGCCUCUAAGCAUCAGGUAACAUUAAAUCGUACCCCAAACCGACACAGGUGGUCAGGUAGAGAAUACCAAGGCGCUUGAGAGAACUCGGGUGAAGGAACUAGGCAAAAUGGUGCCGUAACUUCGGGAGAAGGCACGCUGGUGUGUAGGUGAAGUCCCUGCGGAUGGAGCUGAGACCAGUCGAAGAUACCAGCUGGCUGCAACUGUUUAUUAAAAACACAGCACUGUGCAAACACGAAAGUGGACGUAUACGGUGUGACGCCUGCCCGGUGCCGGAAGGUUAAUUGAUGGGGUUAUCCGUAAGGAGAAGCUCUUGAUCGAAGCCCCGGUAAACGGCGGCCGUAACUAUAACGGUCCUAAGGUAGCGAAAUUCCUUGUCGGGUAAGUUCCGACCUGCACGAAUGGCGUAAUGAUGGCCAGGCUGUCUCCACCCGAGACUCAGUGAAAUUGAACUCGCUGUGAAGAUGCAGUGUACCCGCGGCAAGACGGAAAGACCCCGUGAACCUUUACUAUAGCUUGACACUGAACAUUGAGCCUUGAUGUGUAGGAUAGGUGGGAGGCUUUGAAGCGUGGACGCCAGUCUGCGUGGAGCCAACCUUGAAAUACCACCCUUUAAUGUUUGAUGUUCUAACGUUGGCCCCUUACCGGGGUUGCGGACAGUGUCUGGUGGGUAGUUUGACUGGGGCGGUCUCCUCCCAAAGCGUAACGGAGGAGCACGAAGGUUAGCUAAUCCUGGUCGGACAUCAGGAGGUUAGUGCAAUGGCAUAAGCUAGCUUGACUGCGAGCGUGACGGCGCGAGCAGGUGCGAAAGCAGGUCAUAGUGAUCCGGUGGUUCUGAAUGGAAGGGCCAUCGCUCAACGGAUAAAAGGUACUCCGGGGAUAACAGGCUGAUACCGCCCAAGAGUUCAUAUCGACGGCGGUGUUUGGCACCUCGAUGUCGGCUCAUCACAUCCUGGGGCUGAAGUAGGUCCCAAGGGUAUGGCUGUUCGCCAUUUAAAGUGGUACGCGAGCUGGGUUUAGAACGUCGUGAGACAGUUCGGUCCCUAUCUGCCGUGGGCGCUGGAGAAUUGAGGGGGGCUGCUCCUAGUACGAGAGGACCGGAGUGGACGCAUCACUGGUGUUCGGGUUGUCAUGCCAAUGGCACUGCCCGGUAGCUAAAUGCGGAAGAGAUAAGUGCUGAAAGCAUCUAAGCACGAAACUUGCCCCGAGAUGAGUUCUCCCUGAGACU
rnacentral:rRNA from 1 species